GAUGAAGAACGUAGCGAAAUGCGAUAAGUAAUGUGAAUUGCAGAAUUCAGUGAAUCAUCGAAUCUUUGAACGCACAUUGCGCCCGCCAGUAUUCUGGCGGGCAUGCCUGUUCGAGCGUCAUUACAACCCUCAGGCCCCCGGGCCUGGCGUUGGGGAUCGGCGGAGCCCCCCGUGGGCACACGCCGUCCCCCAAAUGCAGUGGCGGUCCCGCCGCAGCUUCCAUCGCGUAGUAGCUAACACCUCGCGACUGGAGAGCGGCGCGGCCACGCCGUAAAACACCCAACUCUUCUGAAGUUGACCUCGAAUCAGGUAGGAAUACCCGCUGAACUUAAGCAUAUCAAUAGCGAGGA
rnacentral:misc_RNA from 1 species